UUUUCAUUGGAGAGUUUGAUCCUGGCUCAGGACGAACGCUGGCGGCGUGCUUAACACAUGCAAGUCGAACGGAAAGGCCCUGCUUUUGUGGGGUGCUCGAGUGGCGAACGGGUGAGUAACACGUGAGUAACCUGCCCUUGACUUUGGGAUAACUUCAGGAAACUGGGGCUAAUACCGGAUAGGAGCUCCUGCUGCAUGGUGGGGGUUGGAAAGUUUCGGCGGUUGGGGAUGGACUCGCGGCUUAUCAGCUUGUUGGUGGGGUAGUGGCUUACCAAGGCUUUGACGGGUAGCCGGCCUGAGAGGGUGACCGGCCACAUUGGGACUGAGAUACGGCCCAGACUCCUACGGGAGGCAGCAGUGGGGAAUAUUGCACAAUGGGCGGAAGCCUGAUGCAGCAACGCCGCGUGCGGGAUGACGGCCUUCGGGUUGUAAACCGCUUUCGCCUGUGACGAAGCGUGAGUGACGGUAAUGGGUAAAGAAGCACCGGCUAACUACGUGCCAGCAGCCGCGGUGAUACGUAGGGUGCGAGCGUUGUCCGGAUUUAUUGGGCGUAAAGGGCUCGUAGGUGGUUGAUCGCGUCGGAAGUGUAAUCUUGGGGCUUAACCCUGAGCGUGCUUUCGAUACGGGUUGACUUGAGGAAGGUAGGGGAGAAUGGAAUUCCUGGUGGAGCGGUGGAAUGCGCAGAUAUCAGGAGGAACACCAGUGGCGAAGGCGGUUCUCUGGGCCUUUCCUGACGCUGAGGAGCGAAAGCGUGGGGAGCGAACAGGAUUAGAUACCCUGGUAGUCCACGCUGUAAACGGUGGGUACUAGGUGUGGGGUCCAUUCCACGGGUUCCGUGCCGUAGCUAACGCUUUAAGUACCCCGCCUGGGGAGUACGGCCGCAAGGCUAAAACUCAAAGGAAUUGACGGGGCCCCGCACAAGCGGCGGAGCAUGCGGAUUAAUUCGAUGCAACGCGUAGAACCUUACCUGGGUUUGACAUGGAUCGGGAGUGCUCAGAGAUGGGUGUGCCUCUUUUGGGGUCGGUUCACAGGUGGUGCAUGGCUGUCGUCAGCUCGUGUCGUGAGAUGUUGGGUUAAGUCCCGCAACGAGCGCAACCCCUAUUGUUAGUUGCCAUCAUUCAGUUGGGCACUCUAGCGAGACUGCCGGUAAUAAACCGGAGGAAGGUGGGGAUGACGUCAAAUCAUCAUGCCCCUUAUGACC
rnacentral:rRNA from 1 species